UGCCUGAAAUGGAUAUUCAGAAACCCAUCUCUUUGAAAUGAAAACAGCAAGAUCGAUAAUGGCGGCAUGUCAUCAUUGCUGUGCUGUAUAAGUCGCUAAAGGUUUACUGACCCAAAUAACAUCAAAGCGACGAAACAAAGAAACUUAUACGCACACAAUUACCAUCUGACACAGCAAGCAUUGAAGACAUCUGAGGAUUACAUUACUUCUUCCUGAGCAACCAGCUGUCUAUCACAAGCCUUAAACAUCCCUACUUAUCUCAGGACGGUUGUGUUUCUGAGUCACGAUAUAUUUUGUGCUACGUCAUACUCUGUCCAUCUGAUCAUAUCUGAGCGAGCUGAUUCCACGGCUGUCUUUUCGUGAUACGUGCCUUGCACCCGACUUUGGCGGCCGCGAGUGUCCGCUCCAGUUGGCACCGGCUGUCUGCACUCCUAGUUACACACUCAUCAUGUCCCACAAUCCUCAGUGGAACUCGUUCCAGCCGCCAUCCCAGCCCGGCAUGAAAUCCUACUCCAACUACCACUCGGCCAACAGUGGCUACCACGGCUCCUACCACGGCUCGUCCCACUCGCCGCCGGGACCGCGCUACGGCGGCGGCGGUGGCGGCUCGGCGCACUACGCCAGCCAGACGAGCGACUCGGGAGGCGGCGGCGGCGGCGGCGGCGGUGCCGAGUUCGACAUCGGCGUCUUCUCCGUGGGCACCUUCUCGGCCGGCGGCGGCCACAAGAACGGCUAUGGUGUCAACGGCUUCCCGGGAAAGGAGGGGAGCCCCAGCCACGCCGGCCACGGCCUCCGCGAGACGGGCAUCAUCGAGAAACUACUGCACUCGUACGGUUUCAUCCAGUGCUGCGACAGACAGGCCCGGCUGUUCUUCCACUUCAGCCAGUUCGACGGCACCAUCGAGCACCUGCGCGUCGGAGACCCUGUCGAGUUCGAGAUGACCUACGACAAGCGCACCGGCAAGCCCAUCGCCUCGUCCGUCUCCAAGAUCACACCGGAGGUGACGCCCCAGGUGCUGAGCGAGGAGCGCGUCACGGGCACGGUGACCACGGAGCUGACGGCCGGCGCGCCCGCUCAGCACGGCCGCAUCAGCUACGAGAACCGCGGCGAGUGCUUCUUCCUUCCGUACGACCAGGAGGACAUCGAGGGCAAUGUGACGCUGCGCGUCGGCGACCUGGUCAGCUUCCAGAUGGCCACCAACCCGAGAACGGGUAACCUGGCGGCGCGCUGCGUGCGUCUGGAGAACCCGGCCAACCCGAUCCACUACCAGGGUAUGGUGUGCUCGCUGCAGCCCGACGAGCGCAGCGGCUUCAUCGAGCGCGCCGACGUGGUGCGAGAGAUCGUGUUCAGCAGCGACAGCGUGCAGGGCGACCGGCCCAUCACGCUGGGUGAUGAGGUCGAGUUCACCAUCCAGACGGUCCAGGGUAAGGAGGUGGCCACCAACAUCGUCCACCUGGAGGCCGGCACCGUCGUCUUCGAGGACGUCGACCCCACCGACGUCAAGGGACAGGUGCUGAAGGCGCUGGAUGAGGUCGGAGAUACCAAUGACCCGAUGCCGGGCCGUAUUCGGUACCGUGUCAAGGACACCUCGGAGGUGCAGGAGGUGCCGUUCGGCGAGCGCGACCUCAAGGGCAGCUUCACGCUGCGCCACGGCGACUGGGUGCAGUUCAACGUGGCCACCGACCGGCGCGACAAGCUGCAGCGUGCCACCGGCGUCUCGCUGCUCGACCAGUCGUUCCUCGUCUCCGGCGAGAAGCGCGAGCACGGCGUGCUGCUCUCGGUGAAGGAGCACAGCUACGGCUUCAUCCGCUGCGUUGAGCGCGACCAGAACCUGUUCUUCCACCUGUCGGAGAUGGUGGACCCCGAGCGCGGUCUGCAGAACAAGGACGAGGUCGAGUUCACCGUGGUGCCCGACCCCAAGAUCCCCUCGCGCCAGACGGCCAUCCGCAUCCUGCGCCUGCCGCCCGGCACCGUGCGCUUCGAGACGGUGGUGCAGGCCGGUCUGACGGGCACCGUCACUCGCGAGCCCUCCUCCAAGUUCUCGCGCUCGCCGGGCCGCGCGGCGGCCGCCAAUGGCAGCGGAGACAAGUCCAACGAGACGGGUCUGAUCACGUACGAGCUGGACGGCGCCACGGCCACGGUGACGUUCAGCCACACGGCGACCGACCCGCGCCACAGCCCGCGCCACGGCGACACGGUCCGGUUCAGCCUGAUGCAGUCGCGCCGCACCAAGGAGCUGUGGGCCGCCGAGGUGGCCGUCACACAGCGCGCCGAGCGGCCCGAGAGAGCCGAGCGGGCCGAGCGGCCGGCCCGCGAGCCGCGCGACGCCGCCCUCGAGCCCGGCUCCAUCCACCAGGGAUACGUGACGGCGCUCAAAGACAGCUACGGCUUCAUCGAGACGCUGCAGCACGACAGAGAGAUCUUCUUCCACUACAGUAUGCUGCGCGGUGACCCGGAGAAGAUCCAGCUGGGUGACGAGGUACAGUACACGCUGAGCCGACCGGGCAGCCAGGGCCGCGUCUCGGCCGAGAACGUGACGCCGCUGCCGGCAGGCACGCUCUCCAAGCCAGCCGUGCUGCCCGAGGUGCUGGAUGGCAUUGUGCUGCGUCCGCUGCGCAGCUCCGACCCUGACCAGCCGCUCUACGCCGGCCUGGUGCAGGCCAACACCACAGAGGAGGUCGGCCAGGCGUACGAGUUCGGCAUCACGUCGCUGGCCAACAAGAAGGACUACCUGCAGGUGGGCGACUCGGUCACCUUCCAGGUGGAGGAGGGCGGCCAGCGCGCCACCAACAUCAAGAUCCAGCGCAAACGCUACCGCGCCACCGUCGACGCAUUCAAGAACCAGUACGGCUUCCUGUCGUACGAGCACGAGGCCGGCAAGAAGCUGUUCUUCCACGUGAGCGAGGUGAAGGACGGCGUGGCUCUGCGCGAGGGUGACGAGGUGGAGUUCUCAGUGGUGACCUCCCACCGGUCGGGCAAAUCGUCCGCCUGCCAGGUGGUGCGCAUCAGCAGCGCGGCUGAGGAGAAGAAGCGACACAACUCGUUCACGUCGCAGACGGAGCGGCCCGACCGCGUCAUCCAGCGUAUUCGCACGAUGGCGCUCAACGACCAGCGGCGGCCGCGCCAGGUACAGAUCGUGCGUCAGCCGCGCGGGCCCGACCAGGACGGCGGGCGCGGCUUCAGCGCGCGCCGUCCGGCCGCCUGAGUCGCCGCCGAGCCCCGACCGGCCGCCGCCGCCCGCCGCCUCUGCCGCCGCCGCCGCCGCCGCCGCCGCCCACUCCCACACAGCGUGCCUAGAUUCUGGUCUCAAACACAAACAGUGCUUUCCUGACUGUGAUGUUUGGGGGCGUUUGUAAGUUUGAGCAAUAUGCGAGGAUGGGCGGGCUGGGCGAGCGGGGCCGACCGAGCGCGCUGCCGGGCGUCGCCCGCGCCCCCUCUCAGUCACUGUGAGACCAGCGAGGUCGCCGCGUGGCCGGGCCGGUCCUGCCAGGCGGGACCGGCCCGGGGACCGCGCCGCACUCGACUCGCGCGCCCGCGAACUCACACGGACAGAGUGGACAGAUGAUGGACUUUGACAGACACACUGACAGUCGCAUUGACUUUUGACGCGCGCGAACUCUAUAUCCCCUCCGGCCGCGCGCCGGCGAGCCAGCGGCGCGCGGCUGUGACCGGGCCGAGGGCCGACUCCGCGCAGCCGCCGCCGCCGCCCGCCGCGCCGCCGCCGGCGGUUUAAGUUUGUAUUGUUUGUCUUCCAUGUGGCCAGCCGCGGCGCCCACAGUGCGUCGGCCAACGAGACGCCUCUCUUUUAUACGAAAUCCUCUGGUACAAGAUUCUGUGAUAUUUUGCCGUCGCCGCCGCCGCCGCCGCCGGCUGGGUGUCGGGUCAGCCGCUCGCAGCCGGGGGGCGGCGCGCGCGCGCGACCCCGGCCGACGCUCGGCACCAGUCGGCCGCCGCAGACGGACAGAGACGAACACACACACAUACACACACUCAGACACACACACAGCAGAGAGGCAGAGUAUCGCAGUCUCGGGUCCCAGGCGAGCUUAGGUUGCUGAGCGGCUGUAGCCGAUUCUGUUGCGUUGGGCAUUGCGGCCGCUGCUGAAUAAUGUCUGAAAUUCCCCGGCUCGCCGCGGCCGCCGGGCCGUACGGCGGCGAGCAGUAUGUUUUGUUGGCCGUCGGCGGCGCGGUCGGUGGCGGAGGUGACACAGCGGGACGGCUGCGUCCGACGCCGCCGACCAGCCCGCCACGGCCGGCGACGCCGCCGCGCAGCCGCGCACCACUGUGAUUACGUUGCUUCUAAUGUAGAACUUUAAAAACUAUUCCAAAGACAGAGAAGUCCGAGCCGACCGCCGUCAGCGUUUCGCUGCGCGGCGGCCGGCCGCCGGCGCGGCGCCCCGCCGGCCCGGCCACCUGUGUGCGCGUGAGCGCGCGCCCGCAACCGCCACCUGGCGCGCCCCAAUACUCGAGGGAACAAGAACAAUAUCGACACAGUCCCGUCCCCCCAUCUGUAUCUCCUCUACUUCUCACUGUCGUCUGCCUAUCCAGCACGGAAAUUGGCCAGGUGCCCGCCGCCCGGCGGCAGUCGGCGUCCGGUAGGGCCGAGCCGGCCCGCCGCCAGUCGUGGCUGAGCCGUUUCGUGUCAAAGAAAAUGCAAAAAAAUGAACUGUUUGUUUGGUAAUUUGUAACCUCAAGUCUGAACGAAUAAAGCUACUAAAAUCCUCA
rnacentral:misc_RNA from 1 species